GUAUUGCAGGUUGUCAGGACCCGGACGGCGCAGCUCCGGGAGCUCUCCGGAUACGUGCGGCUCAUUCAUCCCUUUGAAGCCCCGGAUUUUAUGGCCGUGCCCAUCGAUCUGCAGAACCGGGCCUACGCCAAGUAUAUAGAAGAGGUGAUGGAGGGGAAGUGACGCCCCCGGUGGAGAUGCUCCGUGAGAAGUAGCAGCUGCCAUUUCACUUGUAGUCACAGGCGACGACCAUGGUCAUGUGAUGCAUGUCCGCUGCAGAAGAUGGAUGAUGGGAGUAGUGGCCUGCGCACACAUGGACCAUACCUCAGCACGCUGGGGGGCACUCACUCCACAGAACCUGAACCCCCCAUGGGCCUUACCCCUCCUAAUAAAGCCACCCAGGACCUCCAGCUUGGGGAUCUAAUCAA